rnacentral:rRNA from 1 species
CAAUUAAACUGAUCUCCUAGUAAAAAAGCUAGAAUUACAACAUAAGACCAGAAGACCCUGUGAAGCUUAAAUAAAACUAUUAAACCACAUAAUAACUACUUUCGGUUGGGGCGACCUUGGAAAAAAAGAGAACUUCCAAAUAAAAUGACUAUACUUCAUUAUCUUAAACAGGCCAACAAGCCAAAAAUGACCCAGCACAGCUGAUAAUCGAACCAAGUUACUCCAGGGAUAACAGCGCAAUCUUCUUCAAGAGCCCAUAUCAAAAAGAAGGUUUACGACCUCGAUGUUGGAUCAGGACAUCCUAAUGGUGCAGCCGCUAUUAAGGGUUCGUUUGUUCAACGAUUAAUA